rnacentral:rRNA from 1 species
GACGAACGCUGGCGGCGUGCCUAAUACAUGCAAGUUGAGCGCUGAAGGUUGGUACUUGUACCAACUGGAUGAGCAGCGAACGGGUGAGUAACGCGUGGGGAAUCUGCCUCUGAGCGGGGGACAACAUUUGGAAACGAAUGCUAAUACCGCAUAAAAACUUUAAACACAAGUUUUAAGUUUGAAAGAUGCAAUUGCAUCACUCAAAGAUGAUCCCGCGUUGUAUUAGCUAGUUGGUGAGGUAAAGGCUCACCAAGGCGAUGAUACAUAGCCGACCUGAGAGGGUGAUCGGCCACAUUGGGACUGAGACACGGCCCAAACUCCUACGGGAGGCAGCAGUAGGGAAUCUUCGGCAAUAGACGAAAGUCUGACCGAGCAACGCCGCGUGAGUGAAGAAGGUUUUCGGAUCGUAAAACUCUGUUGGUAGAGAAGAACGUUGGUGAGAGUGGAAAGCUCAUCAAGUGACGGUAACUACCCAGAAAGGGACGGCUAACUACGUG